GCUCCAUCAAUUUCUUUCUCAGACUAUAAAACAAAUUUUUUAUACAUGCUAUAACAUUAAAACUUGCCCACGUAUCUUUCCAAUUUCACAAUAUAUAACACAUUUUUAAUCUGUAAAAAUUCUCCAGCUAAAGAAUUAUUUGUUACAGAUAGAAAGAGUGUUAGCAUUUGAGAUUACUGUUUACAAUUAAAAAGAGUUUCCAAGUAGAGAAUCAACAACAGACACUACUUCUACGCUUCUCUCUCUGUUCACCUCCAACACAUUCAUCUUCUUCACCUGCAACACAUUCUUCUUCCUCCUACGUCACCUCUCAUACAAACCAUCUGUUAUAUCAGAGUUUCAAUACGACUAUGAAAAGGUAUUUCCUUUAUUGUGUUAUGUGAUAUAAGGAGAAUGUGUUUACCAUUUUGCAGAGGUUUCGUCCUCUCAGUGUCUUUGAAGCUUCUCAGCAUAAGCUUGAGCUGCUUUUGCUUCGGCUUCUGCUGACUCUGCUUCCUUUGUAGUGGUGUUGAUGCUUCAAUUUUUCUCCAUCACCAAUGAUGAUAGACAGGAGCAGAUUUACCAAUUCUUGGACAUGACUAUAUACCUGCAACCAAUUUUUAGGAUUAACAUUAACAUUAGUAGCAACAAUACCUGUAACUCUACACCAGUCAUAAACUUAAGUAAGAAUCAUCAACCUGGACAGCUGAUUUCUCCCCAUCAACCCCAUGACCUGGCCACUUCUCAUAGACCAUCUCCUAAGCAAAUAUUAACAAACUCCUGGUAUGUUGGACCUUGGUACAUUAUAAAUAAUCACCAUCCUUAGUCAACCAACGUUUUAGGGAAACUGUGAUACAUGAUCGUUAUAUACAGAUCAACAUCAAAUCAACGGCGUAACAGUUCUUGUUAGCCAACCUAAUUAACCAUCUCAUGAACAAUGGUACAACUAAUGAGCUCCACGAGCUGAUCCGUCAACUCUUUGCUACGUAUCAAAAUUGCUUGAGCUGUAGAAUUGUAUAUGCAAGGCAAGAUCUCGUCUAGAGCCGUGUUGCUUGCGGUUUUCUCUACUGAUACACUCCGGGCUACAUAUGUGUCUGUAGUUGCACUAAUGCUCAAAGAAGCACAUUAAAUUUUUUCAAUGAAAGAAGAAGCUAAUGAACUGUCAUGAGACAUAAUUUUGUAACAGAAGGAGUGUUCCGCUCAAGAUGAAUGUAACAGUCACCAAAAUUCAUCCACAAAUCACAUGGCUGCUGAAGAGGAAAAGAUUCAGAUAGUUCUUACUUAUGAAAGCGCAUAAAGAACGUUUCAAAGUUUAUACUAACGUGUAAACAAUGAUCUGCAUCCCAUAAAUUGAAGAAACUGGAAGAGAAUAUGAUUAGAAAAGAUCAUUAGAGUUAAUACAGUAGUUGACAGUUGAGAAACAUUUGGUGGAAGAUGAUGAGCUUGUGGGAGUUAUACAACAGCUCGACUUUCAAAACUUAAAAACAUUUCAAAAGAUACAGAUUAGUGACUUACGGAGACCACGACAUGUCAAGGUAAGCAUAGUGAUUGAAUCUAUGAUAUGCGCCACCCUCUUGCAGUAAAGAUGAUGACCUGUUACACAUGUUUUCAAGAUAUUAACACAAGGCUUCUGUAACAAAUAGUUUUGGAGUUUUCUUACACGGAGAAAGUUUCUUAUGUCACUGGAACUAAGAGAUCAAUCUGCUUCAGUUUCACUCGUUUCACAAAUCCGAGCAGCCGCACAAACAACUGCCAGCCUUCAAAUCGGAGAAAAAAUACUAUAAGUAUACUAAGAGAGAUAUAGAAGAUGGUUUUGAGAGGAUGAAAAUAUACCUUUUUAUAUCCGCAGAUACACCGCCUCUCAGAAGACAACGCACACAUUGAGGUAGAGAUGGCUAAAGGAGUCAAGAACAUGUUUAGAGGUUGAACAUUAAAAUCUCUCUGCCAUAGAUACAGAACAGUUACGCUGGUUGUUGGUCCCGAACAAUCCAAGAUCUGAACUUUCUAUGUUAUAACAUAAACAAUAGUUAGAAUGUAAAGAGAAUUCUAGCAAGAGAAAGAAUAUGAAGAAAGAGCUAGUAAUAGCAUAUGCAGCGGCAAUUAAAUCUAGGACACGUAUUACACUUACUAACUCUCUCAAACACAACAAUGGUGUGCUGGUGGUUGAAAAAUAACAAAAGUACUGAGAAUGCAAGCAACAUACAGAACAUGAAGAAGGAGCUGCAAUUCCAAUUACAUAAGGUUUCCAAAAUUCAGAACUCAAUAUCCAAACCAGGCAAUCAGAUACUAAGUAUUUCUAUUUAAUAUGAAAGAUUAUGCACCAAUCCGAUUUGAAUCAACGAUUUUUUAAAGGUAUAUGAAGCAGAAGCAGAAGCAGAAUCAGAGAAUAGAGAGUGACCAUGUUGAGCAAUGAAUCUUACAUUAACCGAGAUCGAUGCAGAGAUUCCUCACUAACACUCAUCUCACACAACCUUUUCCCCUCCAUUGUUGGUUGACCGUAUCAGAGCUUGCUGUAGAGGACGAUGAACCCUAGAAACAAACGUGGACAGUCAUAAAGAAGGCGAAGGUCAGAAGGGGAAGGAAAGAAAGGAAGAAGACAUAACCUCAGGUCGAAGAUUCACAAAGCAAUUCUCAUGUGGAUUGAAGAUAUCGAAACUCAUAGCUGUAUCAGAGAUCGAAAGAGAAGAUUGUUUUAAUUGCGGAAGAACAGCAAACCCUAGAAAAUCUUGCGGCUGUCUCUCUAUCUUCGGGCUGAAUCACGUGAAAACACAUAAUUGAAACGAUGAGUUUUUCUCUUGGGACACGUGUCGCUACAACAUAAAACGAAUUAUCUAUGUGGCAUCCUAUGUGGACACUCUAGGAGAGAA
rnacentral:lncRNA from 1 species